rnacentral:rRNA from 1 species
GCUGCCCGCAGAACUGCAAGUCGAGCGACGGAGAAAGAGCUUGCUCCUUAGACGUUAGCGGCGGACGGGUGAGUAACACGUGGGCAACCUGCCCUAUAGAUUGGGAUAACUCCGGGAAACCGGGGCUAAUACCGAAUAAUCUUUUUAACCGCAUGGUUAAACAUUGAAAGGCGGUUUCGGCUGUCACUUUUGGAUGGGCCCGCGGCGCAUUAGCUAGUUGGUGAGGUAACGGCUCACCAAGGCAACGAUGCGUAGCCGACCUGAGAGGGUGAUCGGCCACACUGGGACUGAGACACGGCCCAGACUCCUACGGGAGGCAGCAGUAGGGAAUCUUCCACAAUGGACGAAAGCCUGAUGGAGCAACGCCGCGUGAGUGAAGAAGGUUUUCGGAUCGUAAAACUCUGUUGUAAGGGAAGAACAAGUGCUAUUUUAAUUGGCUGUGCCCCUUGGGACCCUAUCCAAAAAGCCCCGGUAUAUCACCUUGCCACAGCCCGGGUAAUUCCUGAGGUGGCAACGUUUUUCGGAAUUUAUGGGGCUAAAACGGCCGCAGGGUGUCCUCUAAGUCUUAUGUGAAAGCCCCCGGCUUCACCGUGGAGGGCUCUUUGAAAACGGGAAAUUUGAAUGGCAAAGAAGAAAGUGGAAUUCCAAGUGGAACGGUUAAAUGGCUUAAAGUUUUGGAGAAACCCAGUUGCCAAAGCCACUUUUUGGUCCGGAACUUAACCCUGAGCCCCAAACCUGGGGAAUUAAAACCCGUGUUUUUCCCGGUAAUCCCCCCCCUUAACGAUGAAUUGCUAGUGGUAGGGGUUUCCGCCCUUAGUGCUGCAGCUAAACGCAUUAAGCGGGGGAGUACGGGGGAGUACGGUCGGCAGACUGGAAACUCAAAGAAUGACGGGGGCCCGCACCAGCGGUGAGCAUGUGGGUGAAACGAGCACGCGAGACUUACAGUCUGGACUUCGCUGAAACUGUAAGAUAUGCUUCUCCUCGGAAGGGGGUCCAUGGUGUUGGUCA